rnacentral:rRNA from 1 species
UACAGGGGGGUGCAAACGUUGCUCGGAAUCAUUGGGCGUAAAGCGCACGUAGGCGGUUCGUUAUGUCGGAUGUGAAAGCCCUUGGCUUAACCGAGGAAGUGCAUCCGAAACUGGCGAGCUAGAGUACGAAAGAGGAUCGCGGAAUUCCCGGUGUAGAGGUGAAAUUCGUAGAUAUUGGGAGGAACACCGAUGGCGUAGGCAGGGUACUGGGCUGUUGCUGACACUAAGGCACGAAAGCGUGGGGAGCGAACGGG